ensembl:lncRNA
UAGUGGAGUUCUUACAUUUCCAAGUCAUUCAUUUGUUUGGCUAAAAUCCUGAUACUGCUUUAAGAGAUACUUCCUAAACUGUUUAAUGCACAUGGUAGGAAAUCAUAUUUUUAGCACAAGUAGAGAUGAGAUAAUAGGAACAAGUGUAUGCACUACAGAGUAACAUCAGCAGGUAGUUAAAAGCCCCGUGCCUGUUUGAAAUAGAAAGAUUCGCAUCCGGGUUAGCAGUGCAUGUAAUUCUUCACCAUGUGUGACAAGCCUUCUAAGUAUACAUUGAUCUAAUAUUAAUCUAAGCAACACAUCCCAUCUCUUCGAAAACAUUUGCAAUUGGAAAGCCUUGAGGUCAGAAAAAAAGAGGCUCUCACUGACUUUUGUACCUCAUUUUCAAGUGCUUCUGUCUUUUCAUGUUGUAAAUGGAGAACACAGGAGCAUCUCAGUUCUUGCUUUUAAUUUGGCACCAGGCAGCACCCAAUGACAGCAACCGGAAUUUCCUGGUUCACAGCAUGAAAAACAAACAAAUAACAACAAAAAUAGAAAAGGAAAUUAAAGUCCUUAACUAUUCUUCCACCUUCUUUGAUAUCGCAGGAAUUCUGACAUCCUCCACAGUCCUCGGUUCAAACAAAUCUUUCCCUUGCUCAAAACUCCUCCAAGCAGCUGCAACUGGAAAACGCAAAUAUGCAUCAACGAGCAGAAAACAACUGGCUGGUUCUUCCAAUCUCACAGCAUUCUUAAGUAUCACAGCUGUAGUAUCCUUAGAGAUGUGCAGCCUGGCAUUAAGUUUGAUCGAGUGAGCAGGAAUCAGCACCCAAACUCCACUCCAUCCUACGCUGCUGGCUUUUUAACUGCCUCUAUUUCCAAAACUAUGAAACAAAUAGAGUUAGUGACACACAGUGGAGUUCAUCUCCAGUGAAGCAAAAGCAGUCUCCUGCAGCUUAAAUUGCCCCUGGCUCAAAGCAUACAGUCCAUGCAAAACUGAAUGUGUGAGAAUGUCUGUUACCGAUCACAUCAAAAUUUGAUUGGUCCUCAGCUCUGUUAAGUGUAAAUACAAACUAUUCCCUCCAGAGGACAAAUAUAACCUUGUAGGUAAAAUAAACUUUGAGAGACAGCUCUUGUUAGAAUAUGUCACAUUCUUA